GUCCACGCCCUAACGAUGAUUACUCGACAUUGGCGAUACACUGUCAGUGUCUGAGCGAAAGCAUUAAGUAAUCCACCUGGGAAGUACGACCGCAAGGUUGAACUCAAAGGAAUUGGCGGGGUCCGCACAAGCGGUGGAGCAUGUGGUUUAAUUCGAUGAUACGCGAGGAACCUUACCUGGGCUAGAAUGCAUUUUGACCGUGGGUGAAAGCUCACUUUGUAGCAAUACACAAUUUGUAAGGUGCUGCAUGGCUGUCGU
rnacentral:rRNA from 1 species